rnacentral:tRNA from 1 species
AAGGACGGGAGACUAGGAAGGCGAAGGGAGGCUGCUGUUGGCAGAGCCUCAGUGGGAACCUCCCGGGGUCCCGGGACGCAGACGGACGGGCCUGAAUCGCUCGCCUUGCAGUCGGUCCGUCACCCUGAAAUGGGAUCCAGCGCUGCCAACUGCGGGUUCGAGAGUAUGGCGGCUCCAGUCCCAGAGCCAGGAAAUUCGAGGCUUGGAUCUGGAGGGGAGGAGGAGAUCCUUUCAGUCCAGAUCUGCCGGAUUCUCGGGCUCCGGGUGAAAUUUGGACACAGAGAAGGACAGAGUGACAGCAAAAGGUGCCCCGGAACCGACGCCUGGACGCGGCCUCUGCUGCCCCAAGGAGCCUCUGCUUCCCCACGUCCUGGUGACUGGAGGUUCCGCCAGUUCCCCAGUGAAGGGGAAGGAGACUUCAGGAAACCGGAGUCUCCUCCUAGCUCUGCUCUGCUGGGUCCCCACCUCUCGCCACGAGGACGCCACGAAGGCCACAGAGAGAAGCCGGAGUCAGCAGAUAGGAACUCACUCGAGGCACUGAAGAAGAGGUAAGCCGUCCCUAUAUACAGUAAGAGCCGAGUCUUCACAGUCAGAUACCUUAAAAGGUCUACCCUGGGAUUCCCACCCAGUGUCCCUGCCUCCGGCGGCUAGAGCCUUAACGGGAGAAAGCCGGGCACUUGAGCAGAGGAGAAGGGCUAUGGGCGUUUGCAUCUGGGGUCCAGAGUCCUCUCCCUCCCCACAUCCCGACACUCCUCACCUGCGUGUAGCCUUCUGGGGCUCCUCUGCUCCCCCAUCCUAGUUCUGGAAGGAGUGCAGACCGAACCCAGGAGCCCGGGUAUCCGCGUCCUGAGUCCUAGCGCCCACCAGGACUGGAGCCUCCUCGCAUCUACUCUGAGGACAAAAUCCACUGGCAGAAUCUUCGUUUUUGUUUGGGAUGCUGGGUUUGAGAACACGCCAUGAACCAAGAGUCGUAAAUAAUCCAAUUUUGAGCACUUGAGAACCAAGUGGAAAGAAACUCAAGCCGAUUCAAAGUGACCAAUAUCUGGUUAUGCCCUUGAGCCCCUGCAGAAGCAAAGAAUAAUUUGUGUGUGCGUGUGGACAAAUACAUUUGUAUUCCAGAUCUCACAGAAAUUCCUACACCAAGAAAUUUACAAGGAAAAUGAACACUGCGCCCUAAAAAUUAACAAGGAAACAAGGUACCAGGAGCAACAACUCAUUAACAGGAACAGAAACUAAAUUGCAAACAUUUCAGAUGCAAAGUGUAUCAGACUCAUAAUACAACUAUUCCUACAGUGUCUAAAAAUAUGAAAGGCAAUAAAGAAAAUAUCUUUGACAACAGGACCUCCAGCCUUCUAGACUGAAAAAAGAACCAAAUAGUUCUAGAUAUAAAAGCACACAGUAAUGGAAACGGAACAACUAAAUGCACAUCACGGUAGGUUACAGUGCGGAGCAGUAUUGCGAGGGCUUCUGUGAGUCCCAGUGAGCUCUGGGCAUUCUGUCUGCAACUGCAAGGAUGGCCGAAACACAGCAGAACUCUCCUGUGCCUGUAACUCGAGUGGCCUCAAAAAAAAAAAAAAAAGGGUUGUCAUUGACUCUUUAAGUGCGUGCAGUCGCAGUCUGGGGACAUUUUUUCUCUUUCUGAAAGAAGGCCAUUUCAGCGGAGGGCACAGAUUGGGAGAACACAGAUUCAUGCCAGCGUGGUGCGGAAGGAGACUCUGGCGGGUCACCCCCAUUUAUGGGAGAACGCAGGGUGGUGAAGGAAGUCCUGCACUAGCGGGGACGUCGGUGGGGACUGAGGCUGCUGUGGGGGACCCCAAGUGCGCUCUGGUUUCUGGGGCUGAUUCAUUACCUCACUUUGUUUUCACCACCCUUAGGCCACCCAGUCCAUUUGUAGGUAUAGAAAGAAGCCUAUAAGGAAGCCCGGCUAGCUCAGUCGGUAGAGCAUGAGACUCUUAAUCUCAGGGUCGUGGGUUCGAGCCCCACGUUGGGCGUAUGUUUUGAUUCUGGCUGUCUCUCCCAGAAUCUACCCUCUAUCUGUGGAGGUAGAGGCCCCUGACAGAUGCAGACUUGCUGAUACCUUUUAGAUGUACCCCAAGGGUACGUCUUUUCCUCCCAGCUCUCUGCCCCUGGCAAUGCAAGACUUGGUGAAAGAAGAAACUCAGGCCGGGCGCGGUGGCUCAAGCCUGUAUUCCCAGCACUUUGGGAGGCCGAGACGGGCGGAUCACGAGGUCAGGAGAUCAAGACCAUCCUGGCUAACACGGUGAAACCCCGUCUCUACUAAAAAAUAAAAAAAAAAAAAAAACUAGCCAGGCGAGGUGGCGGGCGCCUGUAGUCCCAGCUGCUCAGGAGGCUGAGGCAGGAGCUUACAGUGAGCUGAGAUCUGGCCACUGCACUCCAGUCUGGGCGACAGAGCAAGACUCCGUCUCAAAAAAAAAAAAAAAAAAAAAAAAAAAA